CGGCGGACGGGUGAGUAACGCGUGGGUAACCUGCCUCAUACAGGGGGAUAACAGUUGGAAACGGCUGCUAAUACCGCAUAAGCGCACAGUACCGCAUGGUACGGUGUGAAAAACUCCGGUGGUAUGAGGUGGACCCGCGUCUGAUUAGGUAGUUGGUGGGGUAACGGCCUACCAAGCCGACGAUCAGUAGCCGACCUGAGAGGGUGACCGGCCACAUUGGGACUGAGACACGGCCCAA
rnacentral:rRNA from 1 species